ACGCUGGCGGCACGCCUAACACAUGCAAGUCGAACGAAGUAGCAAUACUUAGUGGCAGACGGGUGAGUAACAUGUAGGUAUCUGCCCUUUGGCCUGGAAUAACACGAGGAAACUUGUGCUAAUACCGGAUAAGUCUUUACGGAGAAAGCUUUAUGCACCAUUGGAUGAGCCUGCACUUGAUUAGUUUGUUGGUGGGGUAAUGGCCUACCAAGACUGUGAUCAAUAGCUGAUUUGAGAGGAUGAUCAGCCACAUUGGGACUGAGACACGGCCCAAACUCCUACGGGAGGCAGCAGUGGGGAAUCUUGCACAAUGGAGGAAACUCUGAUGCAGCGAUGCCGCGUGAGUGAAGAAGGCCUUUGGGUUGUAAAGCUCUUUCGUCGGGGAAGAAAAUGACUGUACCCGAAUAAGAAGGUCCGGCUAACUUCGUGCCAGCAGCCGCGGUAAUACGAAGGGACCUAGCGUAGUUCGGAAUUACUGGGCUUAAAGAGUUCGUAGGUGGUUGAAAAAGUUAGUGGUGAAAUCCCAGAGCUUAACUCUGGAACUGCCAUUAAAACUUUUCAGCUAGAGUAUGAUAGAGGAAAGCAGAAUUUCUAGUGUAGAGGUGAAAUUCGUAGAUAUUAGAAAGAAUACCAAUUGCGAAGGCAGCUUUCUGGAUCAUUACUGACACUGAGGAACGAAAGCAUGGGUAGCGAAGAGGAUUAGAUACCCUCGUAGUCCAUGCCGUAAACGAUGUGUGUUAGACGUUGGAAAUUUAUUUUCAGUGUCGCAGGGAAACCGAUAAACACACCGCCUGGGGAGUACGACCGCAAGGUUAAAACUCAAAUGAAUUGACGGGGACCCGCACAAGUAGUGGAGCAUGUGGUUUAAUUCGAAGAUACGCGCAGAACCUUACCAACACUUGACAUGUUCGUCGCGACUCUAAGAGAUUAGAGUUUUCGGUUCGGCCGGACGAAACACAGGUGCUGCAUGGCUGUCGUCAGCUCGUGUCGUGAGAUGUUGGGUUAAGUCCCGCAACGAGCGCAACCCUCACUUUUAGUUGCCAUCAUUAAGUUGGGCACUCUGAAAGAACUGCCAGUGAUAAGCUGGAGGAAGGUGGGGAUGACGUCAAGUCCUCAUGGCCCUUACGUGUUGGGCUACACACGUGCUACAAUGGUAUCUACAACAGGAAGCAAGACUGCGAAGUUAAGCAAAUCCCGAAAAGAUACCUCAGUUCGGAUUGCACUCUGCAACUCGAGUGCAUGAAGCUGGAAUUACUAGUAAUCGUAGAUCAGCGUGCUACGGUGAAUGCGUUCCCGGGUCUUGUACACACCGCC
rnacentral:rRNA from 1 species